rnacentral:rRNA from 1 species
GGGUUGUGAGGUUAAGCGACUAAGCGUACACGGUGGAUGCCCUGGCAGUCAGAGGCGAUGAAGGACGUGCUAAUCUGCGAUAAGCGUCGGUAAGGUGAUAUGAACCGUUAUAACCGGCGAUUUCCGAAUGGGGAAACCCAGUGUGUUUCGACACACUAUCAUUAACUGAAUCCAUAGGUUAAUGAGGCGAACCGGGGGAACUGAAACAUCUAAGUACCCCGAGGAAAAGAAAUCAACCGAGAUUCCCCCAGUAGCGGCGAGCGAACGGGGAGCAGCCCAGAGCCUGAAUCAGUGUGUGUGUUAGUGGAAGCGUCUGGAAAGGCGCGCGAUACAGGGUGACAGCCCCGUACACAAAAAUGCACAUGCUGUGAGCUCGAUGAGUAGGGCGGGACACGUGGUAUCCUGUCUGAAUAUGGGGGGACCAUCCUCCAAGGCUAAAUACUCCUGACUGACCGAUAGUGAACCAGUACCGUGAGGGAAAGGCGAAAAGAACCCCGGCGAGGGGAGUGAAAAAGAACCUGAAACCGUGUACGUACAAGCAGUGGGAGCACGCUUAGGCGUGUGACUGCGUACCUUUUGUAUAAUGGGUCAGCGACUUAUAUUCUGUAGCAAGGUUAACCGAAUAGGGGAGCCGAAGGGAAACCGAGUCUUAACUGGGCGUUAAGUUGCAGGGUAUAGACCCGAAACCCGGUGAUCUAGCCAUGGGCAGGUUGAAGGUUGGGUAACACUAACUGGAGGACCGAACCGACUAAUGUUGAAAAAUUAGCGGAUGACUUGUGGCUGGGGGUGAAAGGCCAAUCAAACCGGGAGAUAGCUGGUUCUCCCCGAAAGCUAUUUAGGUAGCGCCUCGUGAAUUCAUCUCCGGGGGUAGAGCACUGUUUCGGCAAGGGGGUCAUCCCGACUUACCAACCCGAUGCAAACUGCGAAUACCGGAGAAUGUUAUCACGGGAGACACACGGCGGGUGCUAACGUCCGUCGUGAAGAGGGAAACAACCCAGACCGCCAGCUAAGGUCCCAAAGUCAUGGUUAAGUGGGAAACGAUGUGGGAAGGCCCAGACAGCCAGGAUGUUGGCUUAGAAGCAGCCAUCAUUUAAAGAAAGCGUAAUAGCUCACUGGUCGAGUCGGCCUGCGCGGAAGAUGUAACGGGGCUAAACCAUGCACCGAAGCUGCGGCAGCGACGCUGAUGCGUUGUUGGGUAGGGGAGCGUUCUGUAAGCCUGCGAAGGUGUGCUGUGAGGCAUGCUGGAGGUAUCAGAAGUGCGAAUGCUGACAUAAGUAACGAUAAAGCGGGUGAAAAGCCCGCUCGCCGGAAGACCAAGGGUUCCUGUCCAACGUUAAUCGGGGCAGGGUGAGUCGACCCCUAAGGCGAGGCCGAAAGGCGUAGUCGAUGGGAAACAGGUUAAUAUUCCUGUACUUGGUGUUACUGCGAAGGGGGGACGGAGAAGGCUAUGUUGGCCGGGCGACGGUUGUCCCGGUUUAAGCGUGUAGGCUGGUUUUCCAGGCAAAUCCGGAAAAUCAAGGCUGAGGCGUGAUGACGAGGCACUACGGUGCUGAAGCAACAAAUGCCCUGCUUCCAGGAAAAGCCUCUAAGCAUCAGGUAACAUCAAAUCGUACCCCAAACCGACACAGGUGGUCAGGUAGAGAAUACCAAGGCGCUUGAGAGAACUCGGGUGAAGGAACUAGGCAAAAUGGUGCCGUAACUUCGGGAGAAGGCACGCUGAUAUGUAGGUGAAGUCCCUUGCGGAUGGAGCUGAAAUCAGUCGAAGAUACCAGCUGGCUGCAACUGUUUAUUAAAAACACAGCACUGUGCAAACACGAAAGUGGACGUAUACGGUGUGACGCCUGCCCGGUGCCGGAAGGUUAAUUGAUGGGGUCAGCGCAAGCGAAGCUCUUGAUCGAAGCCCCGGUAAACGGCGGCCGUAACUAUAACGGUCCUAAGGUAGCGAAAUUCCUUGUCGGGUAAGUUCCGACCUGCACGAAUGGCGUAAUGAUGGCCAGGCUGUCUCCACCCGAGACUCAGUGAAAUUGAACUCGCUGUGAAGAUGCAGUGUACCCGCGGCAAGACGGAAAGACCCCGUGAACCUUUACUAUAGCUUGACACUGAACAUUGAGCCUUGAUGUGUAGGAUAGGUGGGAGGCUUGGAAGUGUGGACGCCAGUCUGCAUGGAGCCGACCUUGAAAUACCACCCUUUAAUGUUUGAUGUUCUAACGUUGACCCGUAAUCCGGGUUGCGGACAGUGUCUGGUGGGUAGUUUGACUGGGGCGGUCUCCUCCUAAAGAGUAACGGAGGAGCACGAAGGUUGGCUAAUCCUGGUCGGACAUCAGGAGGUUAGUGCAAUGGCAUAAGCCAGCUUGACUGCGAGCGUGACGGCGCGAGCAGGUGCGAAAGCAGGUCAUAGUGAUCCGGUGGUUCUGAAUGGAAGGGCCAUCGCUCAACGGAUAAAAGGUACUCCGGGGAUAACAGGCUGAUACCGCCCAAGAGUUCAUAUCGACGGCGGUGUUUGGCACCUCGAUGUCGGCUCAUCACAUCCUGGGGCUGAAGUAGGUCCCAAGGGUAUGGCUGUUCGCCAUUUAAAGUGGUACGCGAGCUGGGUUUAGAACGUCGUGAGACAGUUCGGUCCCUAUCUGCCGUGGGCGCUGGAGAACUGAGGGGGGCUGCUCCUAGUACGAGAGGACCGGAGUGGACGCAUCACUGGUGUUCGGGUUGUCAUGCCAAUGGCACUGCCCGGUAGCUAAAUGCGGAAGAGAUAAGUGCUGAAAGCAUCUAAGCACGAAACUUGCCCCGAGAUGAGUUCUCCCUGACCCUUUAAGGGUCCUGAAGGAACGUUGAAGACGACGACGUUGAUAGGCCGGGUGUGUAAGCGCAGCGAUGCGUUGAGCUAACCGGUACUAAUGAACCGUGAGGCUUAACCUUACAACGCCGAAG